rnacentral:rRNA from 1 species
AGAAUCAACGCUGGCGGCGUGCCUAACACAUGCAAGUCGAACGCGGUUACCUCGCAAGGGGUAACUGAGUGGCGAACGGGUGAGUAACACGUGGGUGACCUACCUUCGAAUGGGGGAUAACGUCCCGAAAGGGACGCUAAUACCGCAUAACAUCCUGCUCUUGAAUGGGUGGAGAUCAAAGCCGGGGAUCGCAAGACCUGGCGUUUGGAGAGGGACCCGCGUCCGAUUAGCUAGUUGGUGAGGUAACGGCCCACCAAGGCGACGAUCGGUAGCCGGCCUGAGAGGGCGACGGCCACGACUGGACUGAGACACGGCCCAGACUCCUACGGGAGGCAGCAGUGGGAAUUGUCGCAAGUGGGCGCAAGCCUGACGACGCAACGCCGCGUGGAGGAUGAAGGUCUUCGGAUUGUAAACUCCUGUUGCCGGACGAAAUGUUCAGACCUAAUACGUCUGAGUUUGACGGUACCGGGUAGAAGGAACGCCCCGGCUAAACGUCUGUGCCAGCAGCCGC